CGAAGUUAGCCGGGGCUUAUUCUGCGGGUACCGUCAUUAUCGUCCCCGCCAAAAGAGCUUUACAACCCUAAGGCCUUCGUCAUUCACGCGGCAUGGCUGGAUCAGGCUUGCGCCCAUUGUCCAAUAUUCCCCA
rnacentral:rRNA from 1 species